rnacentral:rRNA from 1 species
UUGUAGUCUGGAGAAGUGUUUUCCGCGCUGGACCGUGUAUAAGUCUCUUGGAAUAGAGCGUCAUAGAGGGUGAGAAUCCCGUCUUUGACACGGACUGCCAGUGCUUUGUGAUGCGCUCUCAAAGAGUCGAGUUGUUUGGGAAUGCAGCUCAAAAUGGGUGGUAAAUUCCAUCUAAAGCUAAAUAUUGGCGAGAGACCGAUAGCGAACAAGUACCGUGAGGGAAAGAUGAAAAGCACUUUGGAAAGAGAGUUAAACAGUACGUGAAAUUGCUGAAAGGGAAACGCUUGAAGUCAGUCGCGUCGUUUGGAACUCAGCCUUGCUCUUCUGCUUGGUGCACUUUCCGAGCGACGGGCCAGCAUCAAUUUCGACCGUUGGAAAAAGGUCGGAGGAAUGUGGCACUCUUCGGGGUGUGUUAUAGCCUCCGUUCGCAUACGACGGUCGGGAUUGAGGACCGCAGCGCGCCGCAAGGCAGGGGAUCCGUCCCACUUCCGCGCUUAGGAUGCUGGCGUAAUGGCUUUAAGCGACCCGUCUUGAAACACGGACCAAGGAGUCUAACAUGCCUGCGAGUGUUUGGGUGGAAAAACCCGAGCGCGUAAUGAAAGUGAAAGUCGAGACCUCUGUCGUGGAGGGCACCGACGCCCGGACCUGAAGUUCUCUGACGGAUCCGCGGUGGAGCAUGUAUGUUGGGACCCGAAAGAUGGUGAACUAUGCCUGAAUAGGGUGAAGCCAGAGGAAACUCUGGUG